rnacentral:rRNA from 1 species
CCCUUAGAUGUUCUGGGCCGCACGCGCGCUACACUGACGAUGGCAACGAGUUUUUCCUUCGCCGAAAGGUGUGGGUAAUCUUUUGAAACAUCGUCGUGCUGGGGAUAGAUCAUUGCAAUUUUUGAUCUUGAACGAGGAAUUCCUAGUAAGCGCGAGUCAUCAGCUCGCGUUGAUUACGUCCCUGCCCUUUGUACACACCGCCCGUCGCUACUACCGAUUGAAUGGUUUAGUGAGGACUCCUGAUUGGCGCCGCCGCCCCGGCAACGGAGCAGCGGACUGCCGAAAAGUUGUUUAAACUUGAUCAUUUAGAGGAAGUAAAAGUCGUAACA